GACGAACGCUGGCGGCGUGCUUAACACAUGCAAGUCGAACGGGAUUUAGUAGACAGCCGCCUCGGCUAAAGAUUACUAAUGAGAGUGGCGAACGGGUGAGUAACGCGUGAGCAACCUGCCUAUGACAGUGGGAUAGCCUCGGGAAACCGGGAUUAAUACCGCAUAAAAUCGUAGAAACACAUGUUUUAACGGUCAAAGAUUUAUCGGUCAUAGAUGGGCUCGCGUCUGAUUAGCUAGUUGGUGAGAUAACAGCCCACCAAGGCGACGAUCAGUAGCCGGUCUGAGAGGAUGAACGGCCACAUUGGAACUGAGACACGGUCCAAACUCCUACGGGAGGCAGCAGUGGGGAAUAUUGCACAAUGGGGGAAACCCUGAUGCAGCGACGCCGCGUGAACGAAGAAGGUAUUCGUAUCGUAAAGUUCUGUCCUAUGGGAAGAUAAUGACAGUACCAUAGAAGAAAGCUCCGGCUAAAUACGUG
rnacentral:rRNA from 1 species